GAUGAAGAACGCAGCGAAAUGCGAUAAGUAGUGUGAAUUGCAGAAUUCAGCGAAUCAUCGAAUCUUUGAACGCACAUUGCGCCCCAUGGUAUUCCGUGGGGCAUGCCUGUUCGAGCGUCAUUUACCCCCUCAAGCUCCGCUUGGUGUUGGGCGUCUGUCCCGCUUCGCGCGCGGACUCGCCCCAAAGGUAUUGGCAGCGGUCGUGCCAGCUUCUCGCGCAGCACAUUGCGCUUCUCGAGGCACCGGUGGGCCCGCGUCCAUCAAGCUCACCCCCCCAGUUUGACCUCGGAUCAGGUAGGGAUACCCGCUGAACUUAAGCAUAUCAAUAAGCGGAGGA
rnacentral:misc_RNA from 1 species